AUGGUUAAGUUAGAAAGGGCGCACGGUGAAUGCCUUGGCACUAGGAGCCGAUGAAGGACGGGACUAACACCGAUAUGCUUCGGGGAGCUGUAAGUGAGCUUUGAUCCGGAGAUUUCCGAAUGGGGAAACCCACUGUUCGUAAUGGAACAGUAUCUUUAUCUGAAUACAUAGGAUAUUGAAGGCAGACCCGGGGAACUGAAACAUCUAAGUACCCGGAGGAAGAGAAAGCAAAUGCGAUUUCCUGAGUAGCGGCGAGCGAAACGGAAUUAGCCCAAACCAAGAGGCUUGCCUCUUGGGGUUGUAGGACACUCUAUACGGAGUUACAAAGGAACGAAGUAAAUGAAGCGACCUGGAAAGGUCCGUCRAAGAAGGUAACAACCCUGUAGUUGAAACUUCGUUCYCUCUUGAGUGGAUCCUGAGUACGGCGGAACACGUGAAAUUCCGUCGGAAGCUGGGAGGACCAUCUCCCAAGGCUAAAUACUACCUAGUGACCGAUAGUGAACCAGUACCGUGAGGGAAAGGUGAAAAGCACCCCGGAAGGGGAGUGAAAGAGAUCCUGAAACCGUGUGCCUACAAGUAGUCAGAGCCCGUUAACGGGUGAUGGCGUGCCUUUUGUAGAAUGAACCGGCGAGUUACGAUCCCAUGCAAGGUUAAGCUGAUAAGGCGGAGCCGUAGCGAAAGCGAGUCUGAAUAGGGCGUUUAGUAUGUGGUUGUAGACCCGAAACCAGGUGAUCUACCCAUGUCCAGGGUGAAGUUCAGGUAACACUGAAUGGAGGCCCGAACCCACGCACGUUGAAAAGUGCGGGGAUGAGGUGUGGGUAGCGGAGAAAUUCCAAUCGAACCUGGAGAUAGCUGGUUCUCUCCGAAAUAGCUUUAGGGCUAGCCUCAUGUUGUGAGAGUCUUGGAGGUAGAGCACUGAUUGGACUAGGGGCCCCCAACGGGUUACCGAAUUCAGUCAAACUCCGAAUGCCAAAGACUUAUCCAUGGGAGUCAGACUGCGAGUGAUAAGAUCCGUAGUCAAAAGGGAAACAGCCCAGACCACCAGCUAAGGUCCCCAAGUAUACGUUAAGUGGAAAAGGAUGUGGAGUUGCUUAGACAACCAGGAUGUUGGCUUAGAAGCAGCCACCAUUUAAAGAGUGCGUAAUAGCUCACUGGUCGAGUGACUCUGCGCCGAAAAUGUACCGGGGCUAAACGUAUCACCGAAGCUGUGGAUUGACAUCUUUGAUGUCAGUGGUAGGAG
rnacentral:rRNA from 2 species